AGAGUUUGAUCCUGGCUCAGGAUGAACGCUGGCGGCGUGCUUAACACAUGCAAGUCGACGAAGCAUUUUAAAUGAGACUUCGGUGGAUUUUGGAAUGACUGAGUGGCGGACGGGUGAGUAACGCGUGGGCAACCUGCCUUACACAGGGGGACAACAGUUAGAAAUGACUGCUAAUACCGCAUAAGCGCACGGGAACGCAUGUUUCUGUGUGAAAAACUCCGGUGGUGUAAGAUGGGCCCGCGUUGGAUUAGGUAGUUGGUGAGGUAACGGCUCACCAAGCCGACGAUCCAUAGCCGACCUGAGAGGGUGACCGGCCACAUUGGGACUGAGACACGGCCCAAACUCCUACGGGAGGCAGCAGUGGGGAAUAUUGCACAAUGGGCGCAAGCCUGAUGCAGCGACGCCGCGUGAGCGAAGAAGUAUUUCGGUAUGUAAAGCUCUAUCAGCAGGGAAGAAAUGACGGUACCUGACUAAGAAGCUCCGGCUAAAUACGUG
rnacentral:rRNA from 1 species